rnacentral:rRNA from 1 species
GACGAACGUUGGCGGCGUGCUUAAUGCAUGCAAGUCAACUGAAGCACCGGUAGUAAUACUGGUGUGGAGGUGGCGCACGGGUGAGUAACACGUAGGUAAUCUGCCUUCAGGUCUGACAUAACCCCGAGAAAUCGGGCGUAAUAGCAGAUGAUGCAGCGGCUUGACAUCAAGACAGUUGUUAAAGCUUCGGCGCCUGAAGAUGAGCCUGCGUCUGAUUAGCUAGUUGGCGGAGUAAUAGCCCACCAAGGCGACGAUCAGUAGCUGGUCUGAGAGGAUGAUCAGCCACACUGGAACUGAGACACGGUCCAGACUCCUACGGGAGGCAGCAG